UGGGGAAUAUUGCACAAUGGGCGCAAGCCUGAUGCAGCCAUGCCGCGUGUGUGAAGAAGGCCUUCGGGUUGUAAAGCACUUUCAGCGAGGAGGAAGGUGGUGAGCUUAAUACGCUCAUCAAUUGACGUUACUCGCAGAAGAAGCACCGGCUAACUCCGUGCCAGCAGCCGCGGUAAUACGGAGGGUGCAAGCGUUAAUCGGAAUUACUGGGCGUAAAGCGCACGCAGGCGGUUUGUUAAGUCAGAUGUGAAAUCCCCGGGCUCAACCUGGGAACUGCAUUUGAAACUGGCAAGCUAGAGUCUCGUAGAGGGGGGUAGAAUUCCAGGUGUAGCGGUGAAAUGCGUAGAGAUCUGGAGGAAUACCGGUGGCGAAGGCGGCCCCCUGGACGAAGACUGACGCUCAGGUGCGAAAGCGUGGGGCAGCAAACAGGAUUAGAUACCCUGGUAGUCCAGCGCUGUAAAACGAUGUCGAUUUGGAGGUUGUGCCCCUUGAGGCGU
rnacentral:rRNA from 1 species